rnacentral:tRNA from 1 species
GGAAGGGUGGCUGAGUGGUCGAAAGCGCGGCUCUCGAAAAGCCGUAAGGUUGUAAGACCUUCGCGAGUUCGAAUCUCGCCCCUUCCG